GACGAACGCUGGCGGCGUGCUUAACACAUGCCAGUCGUACGGUAAGGCCCUUUCGGGGGUACACGAGUGGCGAACGGGUGAGUAACACGUGAGUAACCUGCCCACAACUUUGGGAUAACGCUAGGAAACUGGUGCUAAUACUGGAUAUGUGCUCCUGCUGCAUGGUGGGGGUUGGAAAGCUCCGGCGGUGGUGGAUGGACUCGCGGCCUAUCAGCUUGUUGGUGGGGUAGUGGCCUACCAAGGCGGCGACGGGUAGCCGGCCUGAGAGGGUGAACGGCCACAUUGGGACUGAGAUGCGGCCCAGACGCCUACGGGAGGCAGCAGUGGGGAAGAUUGCACAAUGGGCGCAAGCCUGAUGCAGCAACGCCGCGUGCGGGAUGACGGCCUUCGGGUUGUAAACCGCUUUCAGCAGGGACGAAGCUUUUUGUGACGGUACCUGCAGAAGAAGCACCGGCUAACUACGUG
rnacentral:rRNA from 1 species